rnacentral:rRNA from 1 species
AAGUAGUUAAGAGCGUAUGGAGGAUGCCUUGGCUCUCAGAGGCGAAGAAGGACGUGAUAAGCUGCGAAAAGCUUCGGGGAUUCGCAAAUAGGAAUUGAUCCGAAGAUGUCCGAAUGGGGCAACCCAGCUACAUGAAGUGUAGUUAUCCCGACUUGUCGGGAGGCAAACCCCGGGAACUGAAACAUCUAAGUACCGGGAGGAAGAGAAAACAAUAGUGAUUCCCUAAGUAGUGGCGAGCGAAAUGGGAAUAGCCCAAACCUGAGGCGUUACGGCGCCUUGGGGGUUGUAGGACUGCGCUGUGUUAGUUUAAAUCGAAUUUGAAUUACCUGGGAAGGUAAGCCGCAGAAGGUGAAAGCCCUGUAAGAGUAUUAUUUAAACGACUAGCAGUAUCCUGAGUAGGGCGGAACAGGAGAAAUUCCGUCUGAAUCUGCCGGCACCAUCCGGUAAGGCUAAAUACUACUGAGAGACCGAUAGUGAACAAGUACCGUGAGGGAAAGGUGAAAAGUACCCUGAA